rnacentral:lncRNA from 1 species
AACAAGACAAUGAAUCACAUAGCAAGAUUACUCCCAAUACAUAUUUUUUAAACAACUAAGAGAGAUAUUUCAUAAAGAAUAGACUAAAGGGUACUCUAAUCCAAAGGACAAACCAAAAAGAAUUAAACUAUCUAGUCAACUGAUCUUAAAAAACACUUUCUAAACACAACCCCUGUGCAUCAUUUAAGCCCUCUUUUAUCUAGCCAUUUACAUUCUAUCGAACCAUUUACAGCCUAAAUAAACUAUGUGAAACUGUUUAAAUACAACCUUUUUUGUUGUUGAUAAAUAGCCUAUUUUAUUGAAUUCAACUAGGUACACCAAAUUCAACAGACUACAAAAUUUGUCAAGACACCAAGAAGUAUUAUAGCGAACAACAUCUUUCCAUCCAAUACCAAUAGCAGCAACACGCCAGAUCAAAAACAAGACACUCCCUACUUUGAACCCAAUACCAAAAUCUCAGUGAAGAAUUAUGACAGCAGACCAGUGGCCAAUAUCUUAACCCUUCUUUAGUUUCUAGACAGCUAGAUUGUCCAUAUUACAAAAAUUCAUAAAAUCUGUUUUGCAUCAAGGCAUUCCAAAAGCUGAUAAGUUACAAUAAAUAUCUAACCAAAAUACCAAAUAAUAAACAUUAGACCAUUAUCAUCAAAAUUCAAAGUAGCCUAACUAGUACUUCCCUUACAACAGACCUUUAGCAAUCAUUUCACGGAGAAGUUUCUUUGCUUUAUCAUUCUCAUCAUUUUCAAAGAGAGCACGGAUAAUUGUUUCAUAAGUUACAGCAUCAAGAAUGCAACCAUUGUCUUUCAUUUUCGACACCACGGCCAUAGCUUCAUCAAACAAUCCCUCUAAACAAAGACCAUUGAUCAUAAUAUUAUAUGUCCAGACUGUUACCUUAUAGCCUUUAAUCAAAAGAUCUUGAAAAAUCACUUGUGCGUCCUUAAGUCUUCCUUCUUUGCAUAGUCCAUCAAUAAGUAUAUUGUAUGUGUGCAUAUUUGGUUGAAUGCCUUGGUCUUUAAUUUUCUUGACUAAUGUAAUUGCCUGGUCGACAUGAUGGUUUUUACAUAAAGCGUGCAAUAAAGAAUUGUAAGUGAUUAUAUUGGCAGGUUGACCUCUAUCGUGCAUCUCUUCAAGAAGCUCCCAAGCAUGAGAGAUUCUCCCUGAUUUGCACAAACCAUCAAUAAGAGAAUUGUAACCUACUGUAUCAGGUGUAAUCUUCUUGCUUUGCAUUUCUUCAAAGAAAUUCAUGGCUUCGUCCACCAUUCUGAUCUUGCAUAAUCCAUUAAUUAUGAUAUUGUAGCUCCAAACAUUAGGAGUCACUUCCUUAUCAGCCAUAGUGUUGAAUAUAUCUAAGGCUUUGUUCACUUGAUUAACUAAGCAAUACCCAUCCAUUAAAGCAUUAUAAGUAAAAACAUUUGGUUUUAUACCUUCUUUCAUCAUCAUAGCCAACACAUUGAUAGCUUGUUCCACAUUUCCUUCCUUGCAAAAUGCAUCAACCAAUAUACUAAAAGUAUAUACAUCUGGGGUGAUGUUUUUUAAUACCAUUUCAUCAAAUAAAGAAAAUGCUUCUUUCAAUUGACCAACAAUACAAAAUCCGUAGAUUAGAGCAUUGAAAGUGAAAACAUUAGGAGAAAUUCCCUUUGCGGUCAUUUCAGAAUAUAACUCGUAAGCCUCGGUUACAAGUUUAUCUUUACAUAAACUUUCAAUGACUGUGUUAUACAUUAUCACAUCAGUGUUGACCAAUUUCCCUUCAAUUUUUCUCAACAUUUGCAGGGCGGCUCUAGUUUCCCCCAUUUUACACAAGCCAUUAAUCAAAGUCCCAUAACUAACAUGAUCCAAUUGAAAUCCUUUUGCCAGCACAUGGUCAUGAAAAUGCAGUGCUUUUUUAACAUCGCCACUAAGACAUAGACCUUUCAUGAGAGUAGUUAAGGUUAUGGUAUCUGGUUGAUAACCCAACUUGAGAAUCUUUGCCAAUACAGAAAAGGAAAAAGUAAUUUGACCAUUUAGGUGACAAUAACAAUUGAUCAAUAUAGUCAAAGUAAAUAAGUCAGGGGUAAUCCCCUUGAAUUCCAUUUGACGGUAAAGGGAUAUGGCAGUGGUGUAAUGCUUACUCUUGACAAGAGAACUUAAAAUCUUGGUAAAUUGAUAGAUGGAUGGAGUAUGGGGCAUUUGGAGCAUACGAUGAAAUGAGGAAACAGCAUUAUCAACAUGAACAUCAUUGUGAAUGAAUCGAUUGACAGAAUAAGAAUAUGAUCUUANNNNNNNNNNNNNNNNNNNNNNNNNNNNNNNNNNNNNNNNNNNNNNNNNNNNNNNNNNNNNNNNNNNNNNNNNNNNNNNNNNNNNNNNNNNNNNNNNNNNNNNNNNNNNNNNNNNNNNNNNNNNNNNNNNNNNNNNNNNNNNNNNNNNNNNNNNNNNNNNNNNNNNNNNNNNNNNNNNNNNNNNNNNNNNNNNNNNNNNNNNNNNNNNNNNNNNNNNNNNNNNNNNNNNNNNNNNNNNNNNNNNNNNNNNNNNNNNNNNNNNNNNNNNNNNNNNNNNNNNNNNNNNNNNNNNNNNNNNNNNNNNNNNNNNNNNNNNNNNNNNNNNNNNNNNNNNNNNNNNNNNNNNNNNNNNNNNNNNNNNNNNNNNNNNNNNNNNNNNNNNNUGCUUUCCAGUAAUUUUCUUUAAGUUUAGUUCCAGUUACUUGCUCGAGAAAUCGCUAUUUCGAGGCGAUUCGAAUUAGUUUCUCUUGUACGUUGAAAACUAUUUAAUUUCUAAGUAUCUGAUUCCUUGUUAAAACGAACAUUCAAACCGUUUCUUAAAACGAAUAAAACACAAAAUUGUCCUGAGAUUUACUAGUUGGUCUCGCGAGUUUAAAUACUUAAACUAGCGGUUGUUUACCAAAUUUUCACGUAAACAAAACCACAAGAAAUCUGACGCGUGGUCCCCCUUGUCUUCUUUCAACUGUGUUGAACAAUUUCAUCUCCUCUCUCAUCCAUGUCAUGUUGAAUAUGCCUUUCAACACCCAUUGGAGCAAUUUUUACAGUUGAAUGAGAAUUCAACAUAACCAUUGUGGGUGGUCUUAGUCAGGAAUAAGGGGUGCUCGCGGUUCGGUUUGAAUCGAUUUUGUGGCAAAAAUUCAUCCGAUCCAAAGUUAAAAUUACUCGUGGUUUGGUUCAGUUUUGGAUGGCUAAUUAAAAAAAUUCAAUCCAAUCCGAUCCAAUUUUGUGCGGUUUAAUUUGGAUCAGUUUUUGAUAUCCAAAUUACAAGUUAAAUUUUAUUUAAUUAAAUAUUAAUGUUAUAAAUAGAUGGUAAAAUAAUAUAUUUGAUGUAAAAUAUAACACAUAAUAUGUGAAAAAUUAAUAUUUUGCAAUGAUAAUUAUCAAAUAUAUUUGAAACCUAUGAAAUAGUAAAAACAAAUAGAUGAAAUUGAACUAAUAAGUAUUAUUGAGAAAAUUAAAACCAAGAAUUAAUAUGUUGAUGCAAUAUAUCAUACUAAUAAAAAGUUAAAUAACUAUUAAAAAUUAUGUAUGCGGUUUGGUUCGGUUUGGAUCGGUUUUGAAAAAUCAAUCCAAAAUCUGAUCCGAUCCAGCGGUUUUCACAAAAUGACAUCCAAACACAUCCAAAAAUAUUCGGUUUUUUGUGGUUUUCGGUUUUUUUGGAUCGGUUUGGGAUUAUUUUUUGGAUUGGUUUGGAUUUGAGCACCCCUAAUCAGGAACCUUUAACAAAAAAUCAUGGAUGUGAAGUGAACACUUCCUGAGUAAUAAAUUUGACUUAAAAAUUUCUGACUUACAAAGUGUAUAAAUGUAUUCCUCCCUAUUGUUCUUAGCUAUUGUUUGUCCUGACUUUUUUCCCUCUUAUUUAGAGUUUAUACAAACAACUUAUACAAUUUUUAUAUAUUAUUAUAAGUUUGUCAAUGUACUUUAUGAUAAAAUAGCUUAUAAAAUAACAAUUUUCACCAGUAUAAACUAUUAAAAUACCAUAAAACUUAAUUUAUAUUGCAUAAGCUGGUUGCAUAAGCUUAAAAAUAAAUUGGGUCAAACGAAGCUAUAGUAUAAGAAAAAAUUAACUUUUUAAAUUCAUGAGAUGAUCUAUGUAUUUGAACUAAAAAGUAGACCAAAUACAUUAAAAUUCUAUAAAUUUAAAUUAAACUAUCUCUUAUCUUAUAUUAAUGAUCUUAUUUAUGUUUAAUUUUUAAUAUUCUAAGACAAGUUGAUAUUAGGAUUAAUUUAAUAGUAAGUUAUAUUUAGAAAAUGACUAAUAAAUGCACUAAAAAUUCAUAGAGUCGACAAACUUUUUUUAUAAGAGGAUUUUAUAAUUAAGAAUUGAUGGGGUACUCUAUAGUCUAUAUAAGUUUUUUAUUUGCUGGGAGAUUUUUUUUUUUGGUACAUUUGCCCGGAGAAAUUUUACUUUAUAAUUUCAUUGAAAAUGUAAUGUAAUAUCAUAGUCUAAAUAUAUUUUUUCUUUAUAAAAAUACAUUAGUUUUUUUGUAAAAUAGAUACAUUAAUUUUUCAAUUAACUUAUAAAGUAAAAUUUCCAUCGUUAGUUGGUUUAGUGGUGAUUAGCGCCGAACUUGGUAGGAAGGAUCAUGGUUCGUUCCUCUGCAACUGUGAUCGGGAGGGGCUGAAACCACUUGAUGCCAGAACUGACUCCGAACCGGAUUAAACCGGUGGUGAAAAGACAAAAAAAAAAAUUGGAGGGAGUAUUUUUUUAAUUAAAUUGUGAAUUCCGACAACAAAGACAAUUAAGUGAAUGUUGAUGCUGCUAAAUUUUAAUAGAACAAUAAUGUCAUGGCAUAGGCAUCUGAAUUAGAGGCUGGGCCGGUUCCGACUAUUUUGAGGCCCAGCUCGAAUGUUAAAACUUAACCCUUUAGUAAAAAAUACGUAAAAGUUCAAAACGAAUAAUCUUAUUUAAAUUAUAAAUAACAUUAAUAACAUAAAAAAUAAAAAAUAGUCAUUCCUAUAUAAAAAGUAUAUAAUAAAUAGUCGUUCAUGUAAUUAACAUAAAAAAUACAAUGUUUUUUUGUCAAGUUGUUUAAUGGGUAGAAAUUCAACCCUUAAGGUGAAUAAAUUGAAAAAUCAUAUUUCGUACCUUUAACCCUGCAUAUAUAAUACGAUGUCUUUACCAACCAGACUUUUUUUAAGAGGCCAAAAUACUUACAUUCUUAGCUUGCAAAAUAAUAUUAAUAAUAUAAAAGAUAAUCAUCAUUUUCAUAUAUUUUUUAGAAGACUACCAUCAUAUUUUUUUUUAAGAGGCCCCUAUAAAAUAGAUACCUGACCCGGUAGCACAUUCUGCACACCCUUAUGACCGAGCCUGCUUAGAGGGGAGCAAGGUGGAUAUCUAGCGGUGAAAACAAUGUGAUAAAGGACAUAUCACAACCUCAUGAGACGGAAGCUUGCAGUUUAAAAAGAAGCGAUAACGAAACUUGAUAAUGAGUUUAACUUUAAUGUUCAUUGAACUUAACGGUAAGCAAGUAUUUAUCGACAUCUGUAAACUUAGUAUCAAUUUUAUGUUUGGAGCUAUCUUACAUACUUUAAGGGCUAAUGUUAGGAGACAAACAAAUAAUCUUGACUUAUUUGUUAGUUUCGACUUCAUUAUUAUAUGNNNNNNNNNNNNNNNNNNNNNNNNNNNNNNNNNNNNNNNNNNNNNNNNNNNNNNNNNNNNNNNNNNNNNNNNNNNNNNNNNNNNNNNNNNNNNNNNNNNNNNNNNNNNNNNNNNNNNNNNNNNNNNNNNNNNNNNNNNNNNNNNNNNNNNNNNNNNNNNNNNNNNNNNNNNNNNNNNNNNNNNNNNNNNNNNNNNNNNNNNNNNNNNNNNNNNNNNNNNNNNNNNNNNNNNNNNNNNNNNNNNNNNNNNNNNNNNNNNNNNNNNNNNNNNNNNNNNNNNNNNNNNNNNNNGGAUCAUGAAAUAAAUUCUAUUGAGAAUUAUAGACAAUGAUUGUCUAAAUGAAAACGCAAUUGCUAUGUAAUUAAAGUCACUUUGCAAAGUGAAGAUUNNNNNNNNNNNNNNNNUGAUAGAUACGAAUUAAUUUUCUUGUGAAUAGAAAAUGUUGCAAUACAAACAUUAAAAACUUGAUUUUUUUUAUUCAAGCAUAUUGGUAAAAGUUUGCUAUUGAUUGUGAAGAGAAAUAUUCAUCUGAAGUGAAAUCAAAAUUCUUCUCUUACUUGAUUAAGGUUGUUAACACAUGAAAGAUUCAAUUUAUUUGAAAAAUGUGUUACGCUAUGUUUAUAUGUCACUUGUUAGCGUGGAUUAUAUAAAACUCCAUGAAGAAUUUAAUUUUCACGAGACAUACAUUUCAAACUAUCGAAGAGAUGACUUAAUGAAAUGAAUAAGUCACUUUGGAAAUGAAUUUGUUAUAUGAUGACAUAAACUCUAGAAGAGUUCUUGAAAUCUAUUGAUUAAAGAAAAGUUUGAAAUGAAAUAUAUUUGAUAUUAACAAAUAUAAUUUAUUGUCACUUGAUGUGAACAAAGAUCAUUUCAUGUCUCAAGAAAAUGAUCACUUACAUGAAUUGGUCUUGAAGGACCAUAUUUUAGUUCAAUUGAGAACACUAUUGCAUUUUGCUAAUUAUGUAUGUGAUGGUAUCAAUAAACUCAAAGAUAUCGGAGCAAAGUCAAGUAUAUAAUUUGUAUCUUAAAGAUACAACAAUAUCAUCCGAUUAUGUGAAAGUUUUAACACUACAUUCAGAAAGUUCAGAGUGUGGUUUUGUUGAAGUUUGUGAUUCUACACAUACAAGAAAUUUGAAGAAGAUAAUACUGCAUCAACAGCUAAUUCAGAGAAGAUUAUAUUAAAGAAGAAGAAUCAAGUCUUUCUACAAAGUCAUCAUCAAGUAAAGCUUCUGAUCAAUCGUAAGAGAUAUAAAGAUGGAUUUUAAACUACAAAUCACCUAAGUCAUUAGGUUUGAUCUAGCAGUGAAGGAUUUUGGUAGUAUUCAUGAGGUCCUAUGUUUGAUCUCAUUGACAACAUUGUAAAAAAAAAAACACUAAAAAUCACCUCUUAUGCCAAUAGAGUACAAAAUACAUAGUAAAUCGAAAAACUAGGAUGAUAAUUGAGUUCCAAGCACCCAAUCCUGCUACACUAAUAUUACUAAGAGAAGGAAGGAAGUCUCCAUAAAUUCAAGCAACAAUGAACACCUCCUCAAAAUAGAUAUACGAUUGAUGAGCUAUGAUCCUUAACCGAAACCAACUGAUAUGUCUCCCGGCUCCGAGAAUGAUACAACCUAAACCGGCAUCAUAAAAAUGAGGUAAGUAUAAAGAUUGGACGACUCAGGAUCUCGCACCAAGCCUCCGACAUCUAACAGAAUGUAUGAAGGAAAAGAGAAUAAUGCUCUUUCUUUGGAUUCAUAGUGAGUCACAUUGAUUUUGCAAAAACUAUAUUUUGGAGUUUCAACAAAAUCAUGGUGCCACCAUGAAUUUCUUAAAGUCACUGUCCAUCCAAACAUACAUUAAGUCUCUUUUGAAGCAGGUCCAAUCUCUUCGAUUAUCUUCCAGCUACAUAUUAUGACUCCACUAGUUCACAACAACCUUGUCCUUAAGGUUGUGAUCAGGAAAAGCCUAAAAAAAUCAGCUAUAGCAACUAUAUCCAUUAUGAAUAACAUAAAACCAGAACGUAACAACUAAAGAAAACAUAUAAAGCAAAGUAUGAUUGUAAUUAUUCUUAAAUGAAAUGAGAUUUUGAAUAGUGGUGCCACAUUAUUUUUGUGUAAACGUCCGACUUAAAAUUAUUAUUUGUCGUAAUUGUUUUAAAUAACUAAUAAUCAAUAGAACAUACCUUUUGCAUUUCUGAGUAACAAAUCACUAGGAAGCAAAUUGCUCAACAUGAAAGGCAGUUGAUGUACAUCCCAAAUUUGUACCUAACUCAAGAACAGCAAUCUGUAUAAGUCUAAAACAGGACAAUAUAUCGAAUGGCAAGAUUACUUCCAAUACAUUUUUUUAAAUGGAUUAUAACGGGCAAUCUAGCCCAAUUACAAACCGAGAUCAAAGACAAAGCAAACAACUUAAACUAUAACAUGAGGAGUACAAAAGAGUCCUAGCCACCAAUACCGGUGAUUGGUUCCAAUAAAUGUUACAAGACAAAAUUUCAAAUGCAAGAACAUGAACUAGCUGAGAGCAUAAUAUGCUUUACUAUAAUUUUGUGCCAUUUCAAAAUAGUCCAGUUUUAUUAAAAAAAAAAUUAAAAAACACUUUCUAAACUAGGCAGCAGCAAGAUCCAUGAACACCAAACAAACUACAAAGACUAUCAACCCCAAGAGUAGCAGUAGAGAAUAGCGAAUAACAUGUUUCCAUCCGAUACCAAUAGCAGCAACACGCCACAUCAAAAACAAGACACUGCCUACUUUCCAUCCAAUAUUCAAAAUUAGCAGCAAUCAAGAAGAAUUAUGACAGCAGACCAGUGGCCAAUAUCUGAUCCUUCUUAAGUUUCUAGACAGCUAUAUUGUCCAUAUUAACAAAAUUCAUAAAAUUUGUCAAAACUCCCUACUUUAUGUUUUGCAUUAAGGUGUUUCCAAAAACUGAUAAGAAAAAAUAGUUUGAUAUGUAUUCACUAUAUAUGCCAAACUAAUGAGAAGUCUAAUUGACAUUUAUAGAACAGAAAGAACUUGUGUUAUUUCAUAUCUAGUCCACGACCUUCGAUGAUAUGUUAAAAUCAUAUUGUUUGAAGUCAAUCUAACUCUCAGAAUUCAAGCUCUACCAUUGGUAUAAUUUUAAUAACAAAAUGAACAUAACACAUGACUUUUCAUUAAAACUAAACUGGUAAUGAGCUCAUUGUGUAGCCGAUCAUCCCUUGUAUAUGUAACUAUCAAGUAAGUAUUUAAACAAAAAAUAAACAUUAGACCAUUAUCAUCAAAUAAGUUACAAGAAAUAAUCUUAACUAGUGCUUCUCUUACAAUAGACCUCUAGCAAUCAUUUCAUGAAGAAGUUUCUUUGCAUUAUCAUUCUCAUCAUUUUCAAAGAGAGCACGGAUAAUUGUUACAUAAGUUACAGCAUCAGGAAUGCAACCAUUGUCUUUCAUUUUCGACAGCAGGGCAAUAGCUUCAUCAAACAAUCCCUCUAAACAAAGACCGUUGAUCAUAAUAGUAUAUGUCAAGACUGUUAUCUUAUAGCCUUUAAUCAAAAGAUCUUGAAAAAUCACUCGUGCUUCUUCAAGUCUUCCUUCUUUGCAUAGUCCAUCAAUAAUUACAUUGUAUGUGUGCAUAUCUGGUUGAAUGCCAUGGUCUUUAAUUUUCUUGACUAAUGUAAUUGCCUUGUCGACAUGAUGGAUUUUACAUAAAGCAUGUAACAAGGAAUUGUACGUGAUUACAUUGGCAGGUUGGCCUCUAUCAUGCAUCUCAUCAACAAGCUCCAAUGCAUGAGAGAUUCUCCCUAAUUUGCACAAACCAUCAAUAAGAGAACUGUAAGCUAUUGUAUCAGGUGUAAUCUUCUUGCUUUGCAUUUCUUCAAAGAGAUUCAUGGCUUCGUCCACCAUUCUGAUCUUGCAUAAUCCAUUAAUUAUGAUAUUGUAGCUCCAAACAUUAGGAGUCACUUCCUUAUCAGCCAUAGUGUUGAAUAUAUCUAAGGCUUUGUUCACUUGAUUAACUAAGCAAUACCCAUCCAUUAAAGCAUUAUAAGUAACAACAUUUGGUUUUAUACCUUCUUUCAUCAUCAUAGCCAACACAUUGUUAGCUUGUUUCACAUUUCCUUCCAUGCAAAAUGCAUCAACCAAUGUACUAAAAGUAUAUACAUCUGGGGUGAUGUUUUUUAAUACCAUUUCAUCAAACAAAGCAAAUGCUUCUUUCAGUUGACCAACAAUACAAAAUCCAUUGAUUAGAGAAUUGAAAGUGACAAUAUUAGGAGAAAUUCCCUUUGCGGUCAUUUCAGAAUAUAACUUGUAAGCCUCGGUUACAAAUUUACCUUUACACAAACCGUCAAUGAUUGUGUUAUACAUUACCACAUUGGUGUUGACCAAUUUCCCUUCAAUUUCUCUCAACAUUUGCAGGGCGGCUCUAGUUUCCCCCAUUUUACACAAGCCAUUAAUCAAAGUCCCAUAACUAACAUGAUCCAAUUGAAAUCCUUUUGCCAGCACAUGGUCACGAAAAUGCAGUGCUUUUUUAACAUCGCCACUAAGACAUAGACCUUUCAUGAGAGUAUUGAAGGUUAUGGUAUCUGGUUGAUAACCCAACUUGAGAAUCUUUGCCAAUACAGAAAAGGAAAAAGUAAUUUGACCAUUUAGGUGACAAUAACAAUUGAUCAAUAUGUUCAAAGUAAAUAAGUUAGGGGUAAUCCCCUUGAAUUCCAUUUGACGGUAAAGGGAUAUGGCAGUGGUGUAAUGCUUACUCUUGACAAGAGAACCUAAAAUCUUGGUAAAUUGAUAGAUGGAUGGAGUAUGGGGCAUUUGGAGCAUACGAUGAAAUGAGGAAACAGCAUUAUCAACAUGAACAUCAUUGUGAAUGAAUCGAUUGACAGAAUAAGAAUAUGAUCUUAAGAGUGUGUUGGUGGAUAUGUGAUUAUAGACAAACCUGUUCAUCAACGUUAAGAAUGACAUUGGAAUCACAGUGAGUUGCUGGCUAGCUAUGGAUCAGAGACUUCGAUAUGCUGUAACUCAAAAUUAGGGUUUAUAGAUAUUGGAGAAAGUAGAUAUAAUACCUUCGUCAGGAACCUUUAACAAAAAAUCAUGGAUGUCAAGUGAACACUUCCUGAGUAAUAAAUUUGACUUAAAAAUUUCUGAAUUACAAAGUGUAUAAAUGUUUUCCACCCUAUUAUAAGUUUAUCAAGGUAAUUUAUGAUAAAAUAGCUUAUAAAAUAAUAAUUUUCACCAGUAUAAACUAAAACUUAAUUUAUAUUGCAUAAGCUGAUUGCAUAAACUUAAAAAAAGUUAGGCCAAACGGACCCAUAGUAUAAGAAAAAAUUAACUUUUUAAAUUCAUGAGAUGAUCUAUGUAUUUGAACUAAAAAGUAGACCAAAUACAUUAAACAUUCUAUAAAUUUAAAUUAAAUUCUCUCUUAUCUUAUAUUAAGGAUCUGAGGCAGUAUUUAUGUUUAAUUUUUAAUAUUCUAAGACAAGUUGAUAGUAGGAUUAAUUUAAUUGUAAGUUAUAUUUAGAAAAUGACUAAUAAAUGCACUAAAAUUUCAUAGAGGGUCGACAAACUUUUUUUUUAAGAGGAUUUUUUAAUAGGGAGGGAUCAAAUUACACCAUUGUGUAACAUUUGAGUAAUGUUACACCGCUCAAUAACGCUUUAACGAAUACAAAUUUUACAAAAUUCACCGUUGGAUUGAAAGUUUAUAUCGUCUAGAUCAUCUAUAUUAAAUUUUAUAAAAAACUAAAAUCGUUUUAUAUGUUUUUGAGAUAGAUCAAGAUUAACGGUAUUCAAUAAAAACGCAUAAACCAUUAAUCUUGAACUAUCUCAAAAACAUAUAAAACGAUUUUAGUUUUUUUAUAAAAUUUAAUAUAGAUGAUUUAGACGAUAUAAACUUUCAAUCCAACGGUGGAUUUUGUAAAAUUUGUAUUCGCUAAAGCGUUAUUGAGCGGUGUAACAUUAGUGAAAUUUGAUCCCUCCCCCUUUUUUUUUGGUACAUUCGCCCAGAGAAAUUUUACUUUAUAAUGUCAUUGAAAAUGUAAUGUAUUAUCAUAGUCUAAAUAUAUUUUUUCUUUAUAAAAAUACAUUAAUUUUUUUGUAAAAUAGAUACAUUAAUUUUUCAAUUAACUUAUAAAGUAAAAUUUCAAUCGUUAAUUGGUUCAGUGGUGAUUGGCGCUGAACUUGGUAGGAAGGAUCACGGUUUGAUCCUCUGCAACUGCGAUCGGGAGGGGGCUGAAACCACUUGAUGUCAGAACUGACCCCCGAACCGGAUUAAACCGGAAGUGAAAAGCNNNNNNNNNNNNNNNNNNNNNNNNNNNNNNNNNNNNNNNNNNNNNNNNNNNNNNAAGUGAAAAGCCAAAAAAAAAAAAGAUUGGAGGGAGUAUUUUUUUAAUUAAAAUGUGAAUUCCGACAACAAAGACAAUUAAGUGAAUGUUGAUGCUGCUAUAUUUUAAUAGAACAUUAGGAGUCACUUCCUUAUCGGCCAUAGUGUUGAAUAUAUCUAAGGCUUUGUUCACUUGAUUAACUAAGCAAUACCCAUCCAUUAAAGCAUUAUAAGUAACAACAUUUGGUUUUAUACCUUCUUUCAUCAUCAUAGCCAACACAUUGAUAGCUUCUUUAACAUUUCCUUCCUUGCAAAAUGCAUCAACCAAUAUAUUAAAACUAUAAUCAUCUGGGUUGGUGUUUCUCAAUACCAUUUCGUGAAACAAAGCAAAUGCUUCUUUCAAAUGACCCAAAAUACAAAAUCCAUAGAUUAGAGCACUGAAAGUGACAACAUCAGGUCAAAUCCCCUUUGCGGUCAUUUCAGAAUAUAACUCGUAAGCCUCGGUUACAAGUUUAUCUUUACAUAAACUAUCAUCAAUGAUUAUGUUAUACAUUACCACAUCGGUGUUGACCAAUUUCCCUUCAAUUUUUCUCAACAAAAGCAGGGCGGCUCCAGUUUCCCCCAUUUUACACAACCCAUUAAUCAAAGUCCCAUAACUAACUUGAUUCAAUUGAAAUCCCUUUGCCACCACAUGGUCAUGAAAAUGCAGUGCUUUUUUAACAUCGCCACUAAGACAUAGACCUUUCAUGAGAAUAUGAUCUUAAGAGUGUGUAGGUGGAUAUGUGAUUAUAGACAAACCUGUUCAUCAACAUUAAGAAUGACAUUGGAAUCACAGUGAGUUGCUAUGGAUCAGAAACUCCAAUUUGCUGCACCUCAAAAUUAGGGUUUAUACAUCGAAAGCCAUUAGAAUGUCAUCGAGCAGAAAUCAGGUCAUGAAACUUUUUAAACAUAAGGGACCAAAUUAAAACCUAAAAUAAACAUAAGGGACAAAAUAUGCAAUUAAGCCUAAAAAAAAGUAAAUCCUCAAAUAAAUUUUUUCUUUGGAUUUGCAAUAGAUUUUCAAAUGACAAGGGAGGUAUUACAUAAUGAUAAUACACAGUUUCUAAAUCCAACGAACAUGAAAAUGAAAGUUCUCAUAAAUACAUAUAUACACAAAUCCAGGACCUACAAAACUAAUAUCACAUCAUAUAAUCAUCUAAGUUAAACAACCUACACUUCAAUUGCCACCAUCAAAAUCGGACAAGGUCUCAAUCAUGUCACACUUGUGCAAUCCAAUCCUCAUAGGCAGCUACUAACAAAACCAAAGAGAAGUAGAAGAAAAGAAUAUGGGAGUCAAAUUACGCAUUAAGUUAUACGGGUAAAUAUGGAAAUUCAAACCAACAAUACAAACACAAACACACAAAUCACAUAAUUGAGGAAAAUAAGAAGUAAUAAUCAUAAUUUUGUAUAAAAUAGUUGUCAAGGUUUGUCGAUUUGGCGAUCAAGACUACUAGCAACUCAUAAUUAACAAGCCUGCAAAUGGUAGUUACCAUCAUGUUACUCCUCGGAACUUUCGCUAGAGUGCUCUGCUAUGAUCCUGAAUUAGUGCAGUGGAGUGUCGAGAUAGCUCUGUUGUCCACAUGAUUGCCGGCAAUCAAUGUAGCUAUCCAUUGAGCCAUUGAGAAUCUAAUCACGCCAAUCUAUCCCCAAGGUCUCUUUGGCCCCCACAUUCCUAAUCUCCUAAAAAGGGAUCCAAAUCUUCAAACGACAACGACUAUAGUUUGGUUGAAUUGUUGUACAACAGACAAACAAAGGGAACAUAAGUUCCCGAGUAGUAACGGUACCAAUUUUAAAAUACAAUCAUGUUUCAGUCUAUUGAGUUUGGAUAAAUGACAUAUGCUCAUAAUACUCUUUUUCUCAAAAAGAAUUGAACCAUACAAUAAGUAGGGAUCCAACCCGUUAUCAAAUCAAAUUUACCGAAUUCAAAACCUCGUUCCAACCCUUCCGGAUCUAAGUCCAAAAACAAAUGCACAUAACACAAAACUCCUAAACGACUUAGACAACUGAAACUUAGAGGCCAUACAUAGAGCCUAACUACAUAGCAUAAUAAGGUUCUUGUGGGAAAACCUUAUUCAUGAACACGCAAUCAUCAAAUAUCUAGCAUAGUUACGGUUAACUAUGAAAAACAAUUCAAGCCAACAAUUGAUCCAACACAACCAAACAAACAAACAACCAAUUCAAUAAGCAUAUUCACACACAAUUCAAUUUCCAAAAUACCCCUUAAUGAGAAAUCAGCUCCCACCUGAAAUUUACUGAUUUCGCUUUCCAGCCGCAACAACCUCCCAACACCAUCACUGUCCAACGCCUUGAACGCACAUAAAGGCAGCUUCAAUGCUUAGGGAUGUCCACAACCAAGAUGGCAGAGAAUCAACAAUCCAAGAGAGUUUACAAUAACAUCAAAAUAAAAACAAAAUAUCAAAAUCAGUGGCUAAACCAAACAUAGGGAAAAUUAAUCUAGUUUAAUUAAUCAAUUACCAAAAAGAACAUAACUAUUUAAUUAGUAACAUGUAAAUAGAGUUUAGAAGAAAAUAAUUAUGAAUUAACUGUCCAAGUACCUUCAAUGUCCAUAAAUAAUAGUUCAGUUCACAUAUAGUCUGACAAUGACAACAUCAUUGACAUGUAACUCCACGCCUUUUCUUCCUGAUACCACAAAAAUGAAACACCCAACUAUGUCAAAAGAAAAUAGAUGAUUAAAUUAUGCCAUGAGUAACACAGUUGACACGACACAACACAACUGACAGUAAGUAUAAUGAUGACGAGCAACAAAAAAAAAGAAAAGUAUAAUGAUGACGAGUUGACUGUUAACACAAAAAUGAUCACAAGUAACACUAGAAUAUAAAAUCAAGACUUCUAUAAAUCAUCCAAUUCAUUAUAUAUGUUUUCUUCAUUCUUCUGUAACGCAAGACCAUACAUACCUGAAAUAAUUACAGCUGUUGCCUUAGAAAAUGCUCCAAAUGAACGGCCAGCAAUGACUUCAAAGAAUAUAUCAACAAUUGUUGCCCUAAAGAAAACUCAGAUGGUACAAACAGAAAAGAUUGAAUCCGUACAUUUUUCCCUUUUUGCGAAAACAAUGCACAGAAAGAAAAUGCUUCUUUCCUCUAAAUGGGGUCGACUACAUGAACCAUCAUCAACAUAAUUUAGUAAAGACAAAAUAUUAUAUCUAAAUCCUUUUUAAUAGUUGGACAUAAAGUCUUUGUUGGUCUAUCACUAUUUGUCUGUUGGAUUAUCUUCCAUAUAAUCAAUAUCUACCACGGAAAUAUAAAACAGUUCUACUUUCUAUAGCUAAGGGAAAAUAGGGUAAACAAUAAAAGGUAAAGUAUUCAUAACUCAUCAGUAUCAGCAUGGUAUUUUAUUAGAAACACAAAGAAUGACUAAUGAAUGAAAAGACUAUACGAAGAAAAUUGGCAGCACAUUGGAAAGAAAAAUAUAACUAAGUCAAGAAUAAAAAAACAAGCAUUGGUAUCAUUUUAAUAACAACACCUGACUUUUUAUCAAAACUAAAGUAAUAGUGAGCUCAUUGUGUAGUUCACCAUCCUUUGUAUAUGUAACUAUAAAGUAUAUGUAUAAACAAAUACUAAAAUUUCGAUCAUUGCCAUUAAAAAUCAAGAUAACCUAAUAUGCAACAAGAGAUCAUCUCAACUUGUCUUUCUCUUACAAAAGACCUCUAGCAAUCAUUUCACGUAGAAGUUUCUCUGCAUGAUCAUUCUCAUUAUUUUCAAAGAGAGUGUAAAUAAUUGUUUGAUAAGUUACCACAUCAGGAAUGCAACCAUUGUCUUCCAUUUUUUGCAGCAUGGCAAAAGCUUCAUCAAACAAGCCCUCUAAACAAAGACCGUUGAUCAUAAUAUUAUAUGUCCAGACUGUUACAUUAUAGCCUUUAAUCAAAAGAUCUUGAAACAUCACCUGUGCGUCCUUGAGUCUUCCUUCUUUGCAUAGUCCAUCAAUAAGCAUAUUGUAUGUGUACAUAUCUGGUUGAAUGCCUUGGUCUUUAAUUUUCUUAAUCAAUGCAAUAACCUUGUCAACAUGAUGGUGUUUACAUAAAGCCUGCAUUAAGGAAUGGUAAGUGAUUACAUUGGCAGGUUGACCUCUAUCAUGCAUUUCAUCAAGAAGCUUCCAAGCACGAGAGAUUCUCCCUGAUUUACACAAACCAUCAAUAAGAGUACUGUAAGUUAUCGUACUAGGAACAAUAUUCUUGCUUUGCAUUUCUUUGAAGAGAUUCAUGGCUUCAUCUAUCAUUUUAAUCUUACAUAGCCCAUUGAUCAUGACACUAUAGCAAUAAACAUUGGGCACCACUCCUCUCUGGGCCAUAGUGUUGAAUAUAACUUUGGCUUUAUUGACUUCAUUAACUAGGACAUACCCAUCCAUUAGUGAAGUAUACGUAACAACAUCUAUUUCCACUCUUUGUUUCACCAUCACAGCUAAUACAUUUUUAGCUUCUUUCAUCUUUCCUUCUUUACAUAAAGCAUCAAUCAAUAUACUAAAAGUAUAAAUAUUUGGUUUAAUAUUUUUCAACACCAUUUCAUCAAUCAUACCAAUUGCUUCUUUAAAUUGACCAACCAUGCAAUAACCAUAUAUUAAAGCAUUGUAAGUGACAUCAUUAGGUAAAAUCCCCUCCCCAAUCAUUUCAGAAUAUAAAUCAUAAGCAUCAAUUACACGUUUAUCUUUACAUAAGCUAUCAAUAAUGGUACUAUACAUUACCACAUCCGGCCUUACCAAUUUUCCUUGAAUCCGUCUCAACAACUCCAUAGCCGCGCUUAUUUCUCCCAUUUUACACAAUCCAUUAAUCAAGAUCCCAUAACUAAAUUGAUCCAAAUGAAACCCCUGUGCAACAACUUUAUCAUGAAAAUGAAGUGCUUUACGAACUUCACCUUUAAGACACAUACCUUUAACAAGUGUAUUCAAGGUUAUGGUAUCGGGUUUAUAACCCAUUUUGAGAAUCUUACCCAAUACAGAAAAUGCAAGAUUCAUUUGACCUAGAUGACAAUAACAAUUGAUAACAAUACCAAGUGUAACAAUACUUGGAACAAUUCCCUUAAUUUCGAUAUGUCGAAAAAGAGAAAUAGCAGUUUGGUAAUGAUUCAUCUUAACAACUGAAGUUAAAAUUUUGUUGAAUUGGAGAAUGUGUGGAGUAUGAUGUAAAUGGAGUAAAUGACAGAAUGAAGAAACGGCAUUACCAACAUCAAUAUCAUAGGUAAUUGAUGGAUGGAAAGAAUUGGAGUGAGAUGAUAGGGUUCUGAAGGGUAAAAAGGGAAUAAUAACAACAGAAGGAUUAGAGAGAAAACAUAACCUUCUCAAUCUCAAUCUCAAUCUCAUGGUUGAAGCGUAUGGCAGAAAGAAAGGAUUAGACAGUCCCGAUAGACUAGGGUGACUAGUUUCCUUCAAACUGAAAUUGUAAUAGAACCCGAACUCUAGGUUUCAGUUUUUUUCGAACUUGAGUAAACCAUUAAAGGAAAAAAAAAUUUAUACCCCAAUAAUUGUCAAUCUACCCCAACAUUAAUUUUGAAUGGACGAAUUUACCCUUAUAUAUAAACUAAAACCCUGAAGAAAAAAAAUUUGUUUACCGGAACACUUUGGAAAAAAGUGUUCUGAUAUGUAAAUUUUUUUUUACCUGAACAUUUUGAAAAAAAGUGUGUAGGUAUGUAAAAAUUUUCCAAAUUUAUUUUGUUACCUACACACUUUGGAAAAAAGUGUUCAGGUAUGUAAAAAUUUUCUAAUUUUUUUUUUACCUGAACACUUUGAAAAAAAGUGUGUAGGUAUGUAAAAUUUUUCUAAUUUUUUUUAUCUGAACACUUUGAAAAAAAAAUGUGUAGGUAUGUAAAAAAAUAGGCUAUUUUUGGAAAUUUAUUUUAUAUACCUGAANNNNNNNNNNNNNNNNNNNNNNNNNNNNNNNNNNNNNNNNNNNNNNNNNNNNNNNNNNNNNNNNNNNNNNNNNNNNNNNNNNNNNNNNAAAGUGUGUAGGUAACAAAAUAAAUUUGGAAAAAUUUUACAUACCUACACACUUUUUUUCAAAGUGUUCAGGUAAAAAAAAAAUUACAUAUAAGAACACUUUUUUUCAAAGUGUUCCGGUAACCAAAUUUUUUUCUUCAAGGUUUUAGUUUAUAUAUGAGGGCAAAUUCGUCCGUUCAAAAUUAAUGUUAGGGUAGAUUGACAAUUGUUGGGGUAGAAAAAAAAAUCACCAUUAAAUCUCCUGAAAUUUUAAAAUUCGUCAAAUACUUGGAAAUAGGUAAAUAACUCCCUCGAAUUAUAAAACGUCAAUUAAAUUGCCCCUGACACUACCAGUCAGAGACCACAUCAGGGGUAAUUUGAUUGACGUUUUAUAAUUUCUGGGGUAUUUGUCUUUUUCCAAAUUUUGGGGAUAUUUGACGAAUUUUGAAAAUUCAAGGCGUAUUUGUCGGUUUACUCAAUUGUUAGUACUACUGUACUUUUUUUUUGG